rnacentral:rRNA from 1 species
CAACCUCAUUUCGGGAGAGAUUACCCCCAGAAUUUAAGCAUAUUAAUACGGGGAGGAAAAGAAACUAAC